CCUCCAGGCACGGGCUCCGCGGUCCUUUCAGGAGGGACAAAAGGGGGGGGGGGACUUCCUGCCAUUGCCAUGGCUUUCUGCAUGUGGGACCAAUAUGGGCAAUGCAAAGUUUAAACAGUUGCAAAUGGGGGAGGGAACCUCAGGUCUUGUUUUACAUAUUUUUCUCCCCCUGCCUGGGCUGAAUUUAAAGUGAAGCUGCCGCAUUGUUCGCGAGGCUCCUUGCCCCGCAUGCACCGACGGAGGCUACUGUUUACACGGAGUUUUCAUUCCUUCAUUGUUUGCUUAUGGAAAACAAGGGGGAGUGACAAAAAAAGAGAGAGGAAAGGGAGAAGGGAAGCGAGGGAGGCACCGACCGCAGUGCAGAAGCGGCAACCUUGUCCCGUGUGAUCAUUAACCUCGCUGGAAGCGCAGCUGGCGGCUGGUUCCGGCGCUUGGCACGGCGAUGUGAGCCGAUACACGCCGAUACACACGCACAUACACACGCCGAUACACGCACCGCGGCGCAUCCACCUCCUGCGGCGGCAAAAAUGAGGCUCCACCAGCUCCUCCGCACCGCGUUUUUCCUCGUGGUGACCCUCCUCCUCGCCGGCGGACAGAGGCCAGCAACUUCAUAAUGGGCUUUUCAGUGUUUCGAAUGAGAAGCUACAACAAUUUCACUGACAGAGAAAUUAGUCAUAAAUCUAGGUUUGGGUCGACAACAGCUGACCUGGUACAAAUACAACAGUCCUGUAUUGAAGCUGUCCAUUUGAAAAGAAAGUUUUCAACAGUCUUGUAUAUCACAUUCUGAAAGACUGGAACAAAGGCCCAUGACUAGAAGUGGAGGGGUGGGAGAAAAAGGGUGGGGAUGGGGAAGAUGUACAGGAAGCUUAUCUGGUUAAAACAUUCAGUAUAAAUUCUUUGAAUCUCAUAAUGGCCAGUAAAAGUUAAAGAUUAAAUGAAGCAUCAGACACCUGAAAUGGAUAUCCAGUGGCAUUAAGCAGCAUCUGUCCAUGCAGACUCUUAAUGGUCUGUGCUAUUCUGAGAGGAAAUUGUACAUGCCAUUGACUGUAUUUAAUUCAGGCUGUGUGUAGGGGAAAUAUUUAGUGUGAAACAAUGUCAGACUCCAGCACAGAACUGUAAAAGUCCAUUUUUAGUUUUUACUCUCAUAUAUUUAUAUAUAUAUGUUUUUAAUACCUAACAUUACAUUUCUAUGGAUUUACCUUAAUAGUAACAUAGAAUGUUUUACUGUAAUAGUACCAAAGUCUGCACCAUACUAGUGAUCAUACUGGAUUCACAUGUAGCAAGAGUUCCCACGUGGAAGAGCUUACAGUAUAAGAAAGCAAAAGAAGUAUUAUUAUCCCUCGCUCUACAGAUAACAGAAUUGAGGCACAGAGAGAUAAGAGAUUAGCCAAGGGUCAUGCAAAGCCUAGUACAAAACUGAUAACUCAGAUCUCCCCAGUCAAGCCUUAAGGUCAAGCCCAUCCUCCUGUCUAAAGAGCUGUUAUUGCAGAGCCUAUCAUUUGUUUUCUUAAACUGGGCUGUCAAACCAGACAGCCAAAAUAUAUCUGGAAAUUCAGUAAUAAAGGUAUUUGCUUAACAGUAGUUUUCCUAAAAUACCAACUACGAUAUUACACAUAGAGCAUAAAAAUAGACCAUUGAAAAGCAACCUUUGUCUGGUCAACCCCAGUGUAAUUCCUGUAAUUAAAAUGAAUGGAACAUUUGGAAUAUGGCAUUACAAUGAAAGAGAACUUCAAACAGAAAGCAAGCUGUUCUUUUCAGCCUUGGAGGUCAAGGAUACUUAAAGCUUUUAUUUUACUUUUUGUUUUUAAAAACACACUUUUCAAAGCUCCUUUUUAUAUCAGUAGAAAUUACAAACCUGCUACAUAUGAUAAGACAAUACAUUGUAGCCAAACUUUCAUUGACAGAAAGUAAAAACAAACCUGAAAAUAAUUCACAUCUAGAUGUAAGACACUGCAUGAAUUUUGAAAUAUCAACAUUUUUCUAAAUAGAGGGGACUAUGUAAAGAUGUGAGGAUUAGCAGUGUCAUUCUGUCUCCCAACACAUACUUUCUAACAAGAAAGUGAAAGAACAGCAAUCAAGAAAACUGGAUAACUGAAAUAUUCUAAUCAGUGCAGGUAUCCGUGCAAAACCUUGUCAUAUUCUUACUGGAAGAACUUCACAGGAGUUUCAUAUUUCUCUAUAUAGGAAGGAAAAAAAAAAAAAAAGAAGGAAGUUUAACAUGACCCUGUUCUGAAGUUUCAGAAGAUCAUCAGUGCCAUAGAAAGAUGGUUAAACUUGUCAAUACAGCAACAAAAAUUCAUCUGUGUAAAUGCCCAGAGUUUUGAAAAAAGCAGUUUUCCAAAAUUAGAACCAUACUAUAGUACCACUAAAGUUGCAACUAUUAUUAUAAUUUACCUUUCAAGUCCAUCUAUGGCUAUUUUUCUGUUUAGAAGUAAAGCAUGGAGUAUGGAAAAGCAAGAAGGGUGAAGAGUAAGCAAAUAUUUAACAGUUAUGUCUUAUGAAUGAAUAUAUGGGUUUAGUGUGGCACUGGUUAUUUUAUACAACCAUAAUUAUUCCAUUAGCUUUGCUAAAAUAAGAAAAACCUAAUGCAUCUAUCAGAGAGCUAUAUAUACAUGUUCCUUUACAGAUGGAAAAAUAAAACAAGUAGUACUGAAAUGUCCUAGGAAGCAGAAGUUGUCAGUCUCUACAAAAUUAUCUUGAAUGUCUGUUCUUUUUUAGUCAUGUUGAUACCAUAAAAUUUUUGUAAAAGAUGCUGACUGUGAUCUUUGAUAGAUAUGUUUAUAAAACUGCUAGUUAGUUGUAUAUUUUGUAAAAAAUAGUAUGCACUUCAAAUAACAUUUCAAUGUCUCAUUUUAAAUAAACUUUGUACACUGUUUAAAUUUUA